UUAAAUGCCAUCCUUUGAUGUUAGCCACUUGAGUCAAAGCAGUUCGCCACCUUAGAAUCUUUUCUUUAUCUUCCUUGUAUCUCUCUGCAUGUUUGGCAAAUGCUUCUUCAACAUUUUCUUUCUGUUUUCUUAAAUCAGAUGGAUUCACGUCGUAGAAAAUUGGAAACACUUUAUGUCCUUUCUCGUUUCUUUGUUUAACAAUCUCAGUAAGCUCCUCCAAGCACCAACUUGAAAAGGCAUAGGUUCCUGAAAAAACAAUUACCGAGCACCACGAUUGUUGAAUGGCUCGGAAGAGUUGUGGUGCGAUCUCUUCACCGGCAUCCAUCUUUGAAUCAUCAUUUUGGAUUGUUUCUAU